GACGAACGCUGGCGGCGUGCUUAACACAUGCAAGUCGAACGGUGAAGCGCCUUCCUUUUUGGUGGGUGUGGAUGAGUGGCGAACGGGUGAGUAACACGUGAGUAACCUGCCCCCUUCUUCUGGAUAACCGCAUGAAAGUGUGGCUAAUACGGGAUAUUCUGGGUCUGUCGCAUGAUGGGUCUGGGAAAGAUAUUGUUUCGGAGGGGGAUGGGCUCGCGGCCUAUCAGCUUGUUGGUGGGGUGAUGGCCUACCAAGGCGGUGACGGGUAGCCGGCCUGAGAGGGUGGACGGUCACACUGGGACUGAGACACGGCCCAGACUCCUACGGGAGGCAGCAGUGGGGAAUAUUGCACAAUGGGCGCAAGCCUGAUGCAGCGACGCCGCGUGAGGGAUGGAGGCCUUCGGGUUGUGAACCUCUUUCGCCAGUGAAGCAGGCCUGCCUCGUUUGUGGGUGGGUUGACGGUAGCUGGAGAAGAAGCGCCGGCUAACUACGUG
rnacentral:rRNA from 1 species